rnacentral:rRNA from 1 species
GACGAACGCUGGCGGCGUGCUUAACACAUGCAAGUCGAACGGAAAGGCCCUGCUUUUGUGGGGUGCUCGAGUGGCGAACGGGUGAGUAACACGUGAGUAACCUGCCCUUGACUUUGGGAUAACUUCAGGAAACUGGGGCUAAUACCGGAUAGGAGCUCCUGCUGCAUGGUGGGGGUUGGAAAGUUUCGGCGGUUGGGGAUGGACUCGCGGCUUAUCAGCUUGUUGGUGGGGUAGUGGCUUACCAAGGCUUUGACGGGUAGCCGGCCUGAGAGGGUGACCGGGCACAUUGGGACUGAGAUACGGCCCAGACUCCGACGGGAGGCAGCAGUGGGGCAUAUUGCACAAUGGGCGGAAGCCUGAUGCAGCAACGCCGCGUGCGGGAUGACGGCCUUCGGGUUGUAAACCGCUUUCGCCUGUGACGAAGCGUGAGUGACGGUAAUGGGUAAAGAAGCACCGGCUAAGUACGUG